UAUGAAGCCAAGAAGUCUCACUACACUUAUAGUGUUUUACGGGCUAUUAAAUAGCUAAAACGAUGUUGCUUCCACCAUAUUAUUUUAUUCCCACUGUUAUGUAAGAGUUGAAGUGAGGUCUGAGUGGAGCGGAGGGAAAAAGCUGUGCAAGUGUCCAUGCAUGAUUUAACUCCUAUUUGGAACCACUCUUGAGUUUUCCGCUCAGACUGAAAUCUGACGGCUUUCGAGCCACAAUCACAGGCUAAUGUUGACGUCUUCCUGCCUUCCAGUCACAAUAAAACUGACUCAAGGUUCAGACGGAUCGUCUAAGAAUUCCUGCUGUAAUCACAUCGGCUGUUCAAAAAAACUGUGGCUGCCUGCGAGACACAGUCAAGGCAGAAAUAAAAAGACAGUGAAGGCAAAGGAUUAGGGAAUGGAAACUCCACUAGUGUGCCCACAGGCGAAGAAGAAACAGAGUCAAGCUGUCAUCCAUUGUGGAUAGCACCUCCCACCCCCUGAAUGACACAGUAAGGGUCCUAAGAAGCUCCAGAAGCGACAAGUUCUUACACCCACAAUGCAGAAAGCAUUCCUCCAGGUCUUUUGUGCCAUCUACUUCAAGACUGAACAUGCAUCAUCGGGCUGAGAGAAAACAGUUGAGUUAGAUGUGGAAAUGUGCAGCAGGAAGUGAAACUGUACAUCAUGGAAAUCACACAAAGACAUUGUGUUCUAAAAUACAUUUCUUUAUUGUUUUAACUGUGUUUAAUUAAAAAAAAGAGUAAUCUUCGUUCUCAUUUUUGGAGUUUAAAAAGGGUUAUCUUCGUUCUAUUUUUUUUCCAUAUAUUUUUUAAAAAGCUAUAAUAUGUUUGUGCCAUAGACAUUUCAUUCUGUUUGCUGACAGAAUGCUUUAAUAUACACAGAUACCCCUAAUAUCAUUACUCUUUUGCUUAUAGUGAGCAUGUUUCAGGACUGCAAGGUGUAGACAGUUGAAGUCCUAAAAAAAUUAAGGCUAAAACCAGAAAAAAAUAUAGAAAAAACAAAACAAAUUCACACAAAAACAAACAAAAAAUAUAUCUACAAGUUAGACAAAAAUAUCUUGAAGAAGAAAAAAAAAUAUAUCAAAAUGUAUUUAACAAAAACAACAACAACAACAAAAACAAUACUUGCAACAAAGUUGACCACACCCACAACUUAAGCGUCCUUGUCACCCACGGAUUUCACUGUUUUGUGCCCCAAGUUGACUCACAAAAAAGAAAAAAAAAAAGAAAAAA